GAUGAACGCUAGCUACAGGCUUAACACAUGCAAGUCGAGGGGAAACGAUAUUGGAAGCUUGCUUCCGAUAGGCGUCGACCGGCGCACGGGUGAGUAACGCGUAUCCAACCUGCCCAUCACUUGGGGAUAACCUUGCGAAAGUAAGACUAAUACCCAAUGACGUCUCUAGAAGACAUCUGAAAGAGAUUACAGAUUUAUCGGGGAUGGACGGGGAUGCGUCUGAUUAGCUUGUUGGCGGGGUAAGGGCCAACCAAGGCGACGAUCAGUAGGGGUUCUGAGAGGAAGGUCCCCCACAUUGGAACUGAGACACGGUCCAAACUCCUACGGGAGGCAGCAGUGAGGAAUAUUGGUCAAUGGACGAGAGUCUGAACCAGCCAAGUAGCGUGCAGGAUGACGGCCCUAUGGGUUGUAAACUGCUUUUAUAAGGGAAUAAAGUGAGAGUCGUGACUCUUUUUGCAUGUACCUUAUGAAUAAGGACCGGCUAAUUCCGUGCCAGCAGCCGCAGUAA
rnacentral:rRNA from 1 species